rfam:Picea glauca, whole genome shotgun sequence.
AUUUAAUGUAAUGCCUACACAGUUAAUGCAUCAUAUCCCGUUAGAACUUUGUAGUGAAGUGUGCCAUGGCUAAAGUAGUACUGGGAUGGGUGACCACUCAGGAAGUCCUAAUGUUUUACAUG